AGCGAACGCUGGCGGCGUGCUUAACACAUGCAAGUCGAGCGGAAAGGCCCUUCGGGGUACUCGAGCGGCGAACGGGUGAGUAACACGUGAGUAAUCUGCCCUUCACUCUGGGAUAGCCACCGGAAACGGUGAUUAAUACCGGAUAUGACCACCGUGGGCAUCCACUGGUGGUGGAAACUUUUUUGGGUGGGGGAAGUGCUCGCGGCCUAUCAGCUUGUUGGUGGGGUAAUGGCCUACCAAGGCUUCGACGGGUAGCCGGCCUGAGAGGGUGACCGGCCACACUGGGACUGAGACACGGCCCAGACUCCUACGGGAGGCAGCAGUGGGGAAUAUUGGACAAUGGGCGGAAGCCUGAUCCAGCAACGCCGCGUGAGGGAUGACGGCCUUCGGGUUGUAAACCUCUUUCAGCACCGACGAAGCGCAAGUGACGGUAGGUGCAGAAGAAGGACCGGCCAACUACGUGCCAGCCGCCGCGGUAAAAC
rnacentral:rRNA from 1 species